rnacentral:rRNA from 1 species
GACGAACGCUGGCGGCGUGCUUAACACAUGCCAGUCGAACGGAAAGGCCCUGCUUUUGUGGGGUGCUCGAGUGGCGAACGGGUGAGUAACACGUGAGUAACCUGCCCUUGACUUUGGGAUAACUUCAGGAAACUGGGGCUAAUACCGGAUAGGAGCUCCUGCUGCAUGGUGGGGGUUGGAAAGUUUCGGCGGUUGGGGAUUGACUCGCGGCUUAUCAGCUUGUUGGUGGGGUAGUGGUUUACCAAGGCUUUGACGGGUAGCCGGCCUGGGAGGGUGGCCGGCCACAAUGGGACUGAGGUACGGCCCAGAAUCCUACGGGAGGCAACAGGGGGGAAUAUUGCACAAUGGGCCGGAGCCUGAUGCAACAACGCCGGGUGCGGGAAGACGGCCUUUGGGGUGUAAACCGCUUUCGCCUGUGACGAAGCGUGAGUGACGGUAAUGGGUAAAGAAGCACCGGCUAACUACGUG